rnacentral:sRNA from 1 species
UAGAUAGUCACAACUUAGCCUCCUCUUUUUCCAUCCGCGAUUUUUUUGGGUCAGUAUCCAGAGUGCUUCAGGUCACUGUUCACCGUCAAGGCGUGGCCCUCGGAAUGAAGGCAGCAGAAUUCUCCACUUUACCAAUACUUACAGGAUCUGGGACACACAGACUUUGAAAUAUGUUCUUCUUUGUCACCAAAAACAGAAAAAUGCACAACAGAGGGACAACAAAAGCCUCCUACAAGAGUCCUACCAAAAGAUAUUGGAUUCCGACUCGACUCAUUACAUACCAUCCUGCAACAGGAAGUCCUGUUACAAGAGGAUGUGGAGCUGAUUGAGCUACUUGAUCCCAGUAUCCUGUCUGCAGGGCAAUCUCAACAACAGGAAAAUGGACACCUUCCAACACUUUGCUCCCUGGCAACCCCUAAUAUUUGGGAUCUCUCAAUGCUAUUUGCCUUCAUUAGCUUGCUCGUUAUGCUUCCCACUUGGUGGAUUGUGUCUUCCUGGCUGGUAUGGGGAGUGAUUCUAUUUGUGUAUCUAGUCAUAAGAGCUUUGAGAUUAUGGAGGACAGCCAAACUACAAGUG